GGUUCAGCUACAAGCACAUAGCUUGAAGCCAUGUAGUACGGAUCUGCGAGAUGAGAUGAUCAUGUCAUUUCUCUGCCUCACAAGGUCCGUUUGAGAGACUUUGCUGGACUUUGGCGUCAUUUUCUCUACCAUAGAGGCGUCCACACAGACACGGAGUGGAGCAGAGACGUGGACGUUAACACGAGUUGAUGACAGGAUGUGUUGUGAGCUGCUGCACCUGUUUUCUUUUGGGAAAAGACACCCGUUGAAAUGGAAGACGGGACUGCCGAUCCCCCACAGAGAACAUUCAACACCAUGGGAGUGCCGCAAGCAAUCUGUGCAGCCGGAGAAGACCCAAGGAGAUCAGCCUGAACAAUGCUCCGCUGCUUCCCUCUUUCUUUCUUUUUUUUUUAUUUUUUUUUUUUUACAUCUUUCAGAUGUAUAGGGCUUAAUUAUAUACUGCAGCCCACGAGCAAUUCCCUCAAAGUGUCAAAGAUCCUCCGUACAUGACUGUAUGUAUUUGUCUGCGUCUUUUUGCCUCUUCUUUGCUUUUUUAUGUUUUAUGAAUACUUUAUCUAUGUUUACGACGUUUCUUUGUCUAAAUUAUGAAUAAGAAAAACAUUGUCUUCACAAGUUAAUGUUAUUACGCCAAACCCGACAUGUUUCCGUGCGACUUGUUUGUAAAUGUCACACACAAAACCCCCUCAAGGUAACCUCGAAACUAAACAAUAAUUUUGUUUGCCCGUGCCCUUGACAAUGAAGUAUUUGUUUCUUGCCACAAUG